AUUGAACGCUGGCGGAAUGCUUUACACAUGCAAGUCGAACGGCAGCACGGACUUCGGUCUGGUGGCGAGUGGCGAACGGGUGAGUAAUGUAUCGGAACGUGCCCAGUCGUGGGGGAUAACGUAGUGAAAAUUACGCUAAUACCGCAUACGGUCUAAGGAUGAAAGCGGGGGAUCGCAAGACCCUGCGCGAUUGGAGCGGCCGAUAUCAGAUUAGGUAGUUGGUGGGGUAAAGGCCCACCAAGCCAACGAUCUGUAGCUGGUCUGAGCGGACGACCAGCCACCCUGGAACUGAGACACGGUCCACACGCCUACGGGAGGCAGCAGUGGGCAAUUUUGGACAAUGGGCGAAAGCCGGAUCCAGCCAUUCCGCGUGCAGGAUGAAGGCCCUCGGGUUUUAAACUGCUUUUGUACAGAACGAAAAGGUUUCUACUAAUACUAGGAGCUCAUGACGGUACUGUAAGAAUAAGCACCGGCUAACUACGUGCCAGCAGCCGCAGUAA
rnacentral:rRNA from 1 species